UUCCGAAGAGAAAACACGUGAUUUUCGCUUAAAUGGGGGAUUUCCGAGGAAAAAAUUCACGAUUUUUGCUUAAACGGGGGAUUUCCGAAGAGAAAACGCGUGAUAUUUGCUUAAAUGUGGGAUUCUCGGAGAUAAAACACUUGAUAUUCGAUUAAAUGGGGGUUUUCCAAAACGAAAACGUGUGAUUUUCGCUUAAAUGGUGGUUUUGCGAAGAAAAAAUGCAAGAUUUUCGCUUAAAAGGGGGAUUUCCGAAGAGAAAAUUUAUCAUUUUCACCUAAGUGGGGGAUUUCCGAAGAGAAAAUGCAUGAUAUUCGCUUAAAUGGGUGAUUACCG
rnacentral:lncRNA from 1 species